GGGAAUGUGGCUUAGUGGUAGAGUACUUGCCUUGCAUGCAUGAAGCCCUGGGUUCAAUUCCUCCCUACCA
rnacentral:tRNA from 1 species